CAUCCCAGUCAUAGUUUUGAAUGAAUGUUUGCCAGUUGCCACCUUUCACUUGGAAAAUGAGCUUCAGCAUGACUGCUCCUGCCAGCGAUGAUGGUGACAUGUCUCGCCGUCUGAUUGCAUGUGACGAUAUAAUAUGUAAAUAUGGUAGAUGUGUUCUGGUGAAUGGGGAGCCCACCUGUGAGUGUAAGCUGGGCUACAUUGGAGACACCUGUAACGAAACAAUCAAUGACGCUCUGUCUGUGCCUCUCACCCUCGGCGUCCUGGCUUUCCUCAUUGGCUUUAUCAUCCUGCUCUUUGGGCUGGCAUUUUUCCGGCAAAGACAAAAGGCAAAGAAGAGAAAAAAGGCAGCUGAGGAAGCCAUGUUAAGAAAUGGAGCACAUCUUUAACGUUUUAAUGCAGCGUGCCAUAAAAUAGUACCAUCAACACUUGAACUACCACUUCCACUCCAAUUAAAAAAACUUUCCACCAUGAAACUUAACUCACACUUAAAUGUGCAUGAAUAUAUAUAUAUAUUCAUCUUAUGUUAUUGGUGUGUAUAUGUAGGUAUUAAAGUAGCUCUAACUGAAUUCAACAUGUAACUGAAAACCAUUGUGAAAUACAUGAAGUCUGCAGCACAUUUGAAUGAUUCCAGAGCAUGAUUUGUGUUGGCGUACCUGCAGGGGAGAUGGAUGUAAAUCAUGUCCAACAUACAAUGACUAGUUGCUGAAACAUGGCAGGUACUUGAAUGUGGUUUUUCUGGUGUUAUAUUUAGCUCAGUCAGUCCUGACUGGUGAGUCUGAAGAACUGAAAGCUGACUAGUUUCAUGGACUGAUAAGCCACAGACGAGUAUCUCUUUCAAGCGUUUAUGGCAAACACUCAUAUCAUUUUUAUGGAUCUUGGUUGCAUAUAGAUUUUAUUUUUGGAGUUUCACAACAACUCUGCAUUCAACACUUUUGUAGUAGAGGCCUAAGAGCCUCAUUCAGCUGUUAUCGUGACUGUCUGUACAGUAUUUUUGAAUAAAGAGAUUUGUUUUUGUCUGCUUGUAUUUCUC
ensembl:lncRNA uncharacterized LOC109063505